UACGGAGGGUGCGAGCGUUGUCCGGAAUCAUUGGGCGUAAAGGGCGCGUAGGUGGCCCGGUCAGUUCGUGGUGAAAGCGCGGGGCUCAACCCUGCGUCGGCCAUGAAUACUGCCGCGGCUGGAGCACUGUAGAGGCAGGCGGAAUUCCGGGUGUAGCGGUGGAAUGCGUAGAGAUCCGGAAGAACACCAGUGGCGAAGGCGACGUGCUGGGUUGCACCUGACGCUGAGAUGCGAAAGUGUGGGGAGCAAACGGG
rnacentral:rRNA from 1 species